AGCCGAGUUGGGCAGUCGCCAUGAUUCUCCCACUCCAGACAGACGCAUGUUAAGAUCUUUCCUGCAACCAACAUCUUUCAGAAGUCCCUGAAACUCCUGGAACUACAUUAUAAAGUAAGAAACAGAAGAGCAAACUACACUGAGGGUCACAUGCACUAUGAAGCCAAGGAUGACCUUGAAGUUCUGGUCCUUCUGCUGCCACCUCCUGAGUACUGGUGACAGGAAAAAGCAACCACGAUGUUCUCUUCCAGAGAAACAUGAAGCCUGAAGGCCUUGGAGCCACUGCCUGCAAAUGAAGAAACGGUGCCAAUCACUAUGCAGUGGGCUGCAAGGCACAGAGAGCAGCUGCUGCAAAGCCAUUGUGCCAGCCCAACUCCAACUGUAGCACAGUGGAGUCCAGCGACAGCCCAUCAGAUGGUGGGUCCUAGUGUACUUUGUCUUAAACACCAGCUUUAAAACAAACAACACAAACACACACACACAGAAAGAAAGGGUUCAUCUCUAAAACAUAUGGAGAACUCCUGGCACAUCUCUUAAUUGUGUCUUAAUCAUAUUCUUUGUUUCACUAAAAGACCACCAGGCAAGCAGGGUGUGUAGUUAGGCAUCCCAGUUCUGUGCUUUUCAGCUUCCUGUCCCAGGGUCCACUUGUUUAUAUAUAAACCCCAGUUAUAGAUAAACUCGAUAUGACUCCUUUUCAUUCCUACCAGCUCACAAGUAUGUCAACAAUGUAUGUUUAAGAGAAGACAAUGGAUUAAGAAAGCUGAAGUAGGAGGACUGAGAAUCUGAAGCAAGCCUGAGCCUCGUAGGAAGACCACACUUUACAAACCAAACGAAGUACAAAUGGAAACUCAAAGUGGCAAAUCUCAUAUCUCUAGGGAUAAAGAGAGUUUCUCACAUUACAGUAUUCUGGUGAUGUCUUUGAGAUCAAAGAAUGUGUGUUUCCAUGUAAGGUUAGCGUCACUCUUCCACGCCACACUAAUCCUCAUGUGUCGACACAGGAGUGCACACUAGACUAUAUCUUGUUGCUAAAAUAUUUCCUCAUUUCCAGUCGAAUGAUCAAUUUUGUAAUCAUAAGAGUCAAAGCAACAAAGACAAAUUAAAUGAUCCACUGUGCUCCACAUUCACUAGGGAAAAGCUGCUUGGGGCUAUAUAAAAAUAUCUGUUUACCAGAUCGCAUGUUUGGUGAGGCUGAACUUAGUUCCCGUUGGAAAUCUGGUUAGACUUCGAGGGGUUUAAAAUUCAUGUGAUUUUCUUGAAGAGAUGUAAACAAAUAUUCAAAUGUUUGUCACUUUGGAGGUGUUAAUUAUGUCAUCUUACAUGAAAACAGCAAAGAGUAAACUCCCCAUCACUCCACAGUUGGUUAAAGUUGGAAUUAACUUGGCUACUUCUAGUCUAGAUGGGCAUGAGUGACAUCAAACAGUGGCCACACAUUUAAUCGCUGAUCUUUCUCUGAGGGCUACAAACCCUUCAAGGCUCAGGUCUCCUACUUCAUACUCUAUGUCACCUUCUUUUUUUAAGUAAACUCACUCUAUUGUAACAAAUUUACAAAGACAUCACAUAACCAUAAUAAUAAGAUUCUCAGAAAGAAGUAAAUAAACAACCACUUACAUAAGCCCAAUCUCAUGGAUCUCAGUGAACGUCUAGACCACUAGCAUGGCCAUUUAGAAAUCACAGAGCCUCACAUGGGGUUUUAUACUUUCUUUGUCAAUUACAUUUUUAUUCACUUAUCCAUUAAUAAAAAAGAAAAAAUAAAACUAUGACAGAGUUGAUACUAGAAAACAUAAAGUUGUAUAUGCUCAUGUAUCAGUUUUCCUAUAUUUUGUCUUUCCUCCUUACUUUAAAUUACCUCUCUUGGUCUCUUUUCUGAAUUUUAUGUUAUGCCUCAAUUUAGACAUGCUUACAAACACAAACACACACACAUGUAUAUGUAGGACAACAUGCAUUUUUUCCUUUGAGUUUGGGUCAUGUCAUUUUAUAUCAUCAUACUAAGUACAUCUAUUUUCCCAUAUAUUUCUUGGUUGCAUUCCUCUUUAUGGUUGAAAAUAUUCCAGUCUAUAAGCAUAUCAUAUUUUCACUAUCCACUCUUCUGUUGCUAAACAUCUAAGUUAGUUCGGUUUCCUUGAUGCUUUACUAAAUAGAGCACCAACAAAAGAGAAUGUGCGAAGAUCUUUGUGGUAGGGCACAGAGUUCUUGGAGUGCCUGGCUGGGAAUUGUAUAGUUGGGUCACAUGACCUACCAACCUAGGAGGUAUAAAUAAUCUAAACAGGCCUAUUAUAAGCAAUGGGAUCAAAAUUGUUAUCAAAAGUCUCUCUACAAAGUUUAGGAUAGAAUGAAUUAAUUUCCAAAGUCUUUCAAAAUUUCAGUAAGAUUUAAUAGUGAUUCCCCACAACAUAAAAGGUAAAGAAACACUACCAAAUUCCUUUAUGAAGUCAUUAUAACCCUGGGACAAAACUAGAUAAUGCUAUAACACAAAAAUGACAACUACAAACCAAUUUCUCUGAUAAACAUAGAUGCAAAAAUUUUUAAGAAAACACAUAAAAAACAAAUUCAGGAACACAUUAAAAUCAUACACACAACGUGAACAAGCUGGCUGCAUACCAGAGAUACAAACUUGGUUCAAAAUAUUCAAAUCAACUAAUGUAAUACAGCAUAUAAAAAUGUA